CCAGCUCUGGUCACUGCCCCGAGGAGCCUCAGUGCAAACUCCCACUGUGCCAUACCUCUCACAAGGAACUACUACUCAGAUUGUUCUUCAUUAUGGCUGAGCGCCACUAUGUCUGUACUCAACAGGUACCAUCAACGUUCAGACAACACAGGAAAGAAGUCACUGCCGGUGGCAGACACUGGGGAAGAAAUGGCUGUCUCCACAAGCACCCGCUCAAGGGGCUUCCGUGCUGUGGCCCGCUCUCUCCUGGUGAGGAUCGAACCCAGGGCCUCACACGUGCUAGACAAGCACCCAACCACUGAGUUACAUCCCAGCGCUGAUCUUCCUAUUUGGAUCCUGCACUUCACAAAUUCGCACGCAAAUACUCAUUGCAAAGAAAUUA